UGCAAAACGACAUACCGAGCGCCAACCGACCGUCGCUCCUCCAAGCCCCACGUCGGCGACGCCGCAGGACUCCAGCGCUGGAAGCACGUGUCCCCACGGGGCGGGACGUGUUCUGAGACGCUAGUGAUACGUGCGGGGCUCCCCGAGUUCAGCGUCAGACUAAUCACACACAGCUCAUCAGCAGCAGAGCCAGAGCAGACUCCGGACUCCACGUCCUGCACAUUUUCCGUGCGGCCGAGUGUGGAAACUCUUUGAAGAACGUGCGUGAACGUCAGGAGAGGAGUCCCACCAGCGGCCAGCAGCCAGCUGGCCUCGUCACCAGGCCGUCAUGUGUGCCAAGUUUUCUCCACUGGGUCCCCCCGGCUGGUCUAUCUGUGCCUCCUUGUGUUUCUUUGAUAGGCUCCUCCCUACUCAUUUCCACUUUCCGCUUGUCCCUGCCGUGGUACCACCUCCCUGGGGCUGGGAAGCAUCCCUCCUUCAUCCUUGGCUCUCGGGUUUUCAGCCCAAGGCUUGCUGUGUAGCUGGGGGCUUGUUAAAUGCUAGUGGGAGGAGGGAAUGGUCCGUCUGCCCCAAAUUCAAUCCUUUUUCAAAUCAAAUUUUUAAAAAUGUUUUGUUUCCCUUUCGUUGUCUGUGAAUACCCACUAACGAAAUCCACUUGGUUGAUGUACUUACAGGUUGUAGGAGAUGCCUGGACGUAAAGCCUGGACGUUACUACUCCCAGCCCCAAGUCGCAGCAGCUGCUCUCUUGCUUGCCCCUAGGGGACGUCCCCUCCAGCUCAGUGGUCCAUGGGCCAGUUAUGGCCAAAGUGGAAAUUAUCGAUAAAGACCAGUGGGAGGGACUGUGACCAAUGCCACCCUGUUCCCCUCCUUCUUCCACUGACAACUCCUGAACCAGGUGCAAUGGGAGGCAGGCAGCCAAGUGUGAAUCUGACACCCACUGCCCCAGUGCGGGGGAGCAGGGACACAGAAAGAUCUCGGAUCCCGCAGGGCGUCGUGGGCCCGCUGAGCCCAUGCUGACCGCUGCUACCCCCAGACUUCUUGUUCUGCAAGAAAGUUAAGCCCUUGGUUAUUGAAGUCAUUUUUAGCCCAAAGGUGCCCUGGUGUCUUUUGAGUGAUGUCCCUGAAGCGAGAGGUCACGGAGCAGAGCGCCGUGGUUGUCUGAGGGACGUGCGCAGCUUGGCCGAGAUAGCGCAAUCGAGGAAGGGGCUGUCGGAAUGUAUCGGAAACGCUGUUGGAACGUACAGUCCCAUUCCCAGGUCUUAGCACGUUUUGUUUUUUCUGCUAUGACCUUCCAGGUUUUUCUGACCCAUUAUCAAAUAGGUUACAGUUGUCAUGCCAUUUGCCAUGGGCUACACCAUCCUACACUUCCAAGAAAUACGGAUUUUCUCCUCUGUGACCACUAUGGCAUGGUCAUAUUUAAUAAUUCCCAAAUACAAUCUGGUGCCAGUCUGUACCCAAAUUCCCCAUCGUCCACCCCAGUGUCUCCCAUAUUUGCUCUUUUAGAACCACGGUGCAAGUGUUGCAUUGUGUUUUUAUUCCUGUCCCCUUAUUUCUGUGUGACAUUGUCCCGUUGGAGAAGCCAGGCCAAUUGUCAUGAAAAGGGUCUCACUUUGCAGAUUUUCUCAGACUGUUUCCUACUGGUGUCAUUCCGUGGCUCCCUGUCCCCAUCUUUCCUGUAACAGAGUUGUGUCCGAAGGUCUGAUGGGAUUUGAGUUAAUAUAUUUGGGGCGAGGACACAGUAGGAGAUCCCAUGGCUAUUUCUCCUGACUUCUUCUCAUCGCCCAAAGCCUUGGGCCACCUCCCACACUGAGGCAAGUCCCCAGCCUUUAGUCUUGUGUCUCCUCUCCCCGUCCAGACCUGCGUGCUGUCCCUGUCCUGGUCUACCAUGUCUCCUCAUAGUCCCAUGCCUCCGCUUGUACGGCGCUCUGUCCAGAGGUCAUCUCUCUCCUGCAGGCAGAGUCUCCAGUAGCAGAGACAGUAGAUGUGGCCCUUGUGUGUGGGUGGGACCGGGGACUCCCUUCUGACCAGUAGAACGCAGCACAGGUGAAGCGAGGCCUGCUCCGCUCCCAAGGACCAACCUAAGAACCGCAUCACCUUCGGUACCUAAGGCUCUGAGUCCCCGCCGAUCCCUUACUCUCACCACCACAGGCUUCAUUACCUCAAACUACACCCGGACCAUCAAUAUCAUCACCACCAGCAGAACCAAACGUUUUUGGCCUCCUGAGGCACCAUGUUGUGCACCUCGCAUGCUCGCCCAGCACUUGCUACCGACGGAGGCUGUGACCGUGGUGUUCCGCAGCGCCCAGGUGUGACCUGCUACCAUCCCGGCUUCCCAGACGCUGGGAGCCGCACCCGUACCGGCUUAUACAGAGCCGAGACUUUGUAAUCAGGAGAGACGUAUAAUAACAUUUCGCUCUGCAAAAGAAAACACUUACUUGGAAUUUCCUCUUAUUUUUUUCCUGCUUGGAAAAGCAAUACAAAUGGAGUGAGUUAGUGAUAAUGUUUUCCAGAUGUUCUCUAGAUAAGAAAAACAACAAAUAUAAACAAGAAUCUUUUCUUAUUUUUCCUGAGAAGAUUAAAACGAAAGUUCGGUCGUUUACCAAGUGACCUUUGCCCAAACUCACGUUUCCCUCUCAAGCUCUGGAUGCCAAGUGCGGGAAGGACUUGAAAGCGCCAUGAGCUGGUCAGGGCGUCCCCCCCCGUCGAAGACUGAGCCCCGAGCCCGGUAUUUCUCCCUUCACAAAACCCCCUGACAUGGGAGGAGACUUACUUCCAAUGACAGAUCAUGGACUUGAUAAAAAACAGCAAAAGGCUUAUUGGAGAAUUGAAAUAUUGUCCCUAAUCACAAACAAAAAAGUGGCAGCUGACACAGGCCGGUGUGGUUGGAGUCACCAUUGGAGUCAGCGGCGCUUAGGGGCCCGGCCGGUUGAGCGUCUGGCUUUGUCUCAGGUCAUGAUCCCAGGGUUGUGGAAUCCAGUCCCGAUCGGGACGUCUCCCUCUGCCCCUCCCCCCGCUUGUGCACUUUCUCUCUCUCUCUCUCUGCCUCUUGAAUAAAUAAAUCUUUAAAAAGAAAGGAGCUACCAUCCUUAGAUCCCAGGGCAUACCACAUCGAUAAGACCAGAAUGGGCAGCUGUGGAAAAGGAAGAUUCAAAGAAACGUUGAUUGAUUUUCAAAACUUUUGUGUAUCUAAAGUUAUGUAUAUGAGUGCUUAGUAUGACUGGAAAUGGCAUGUGAAGUUUCAAACUGUUGAUUUAACAUAGGCAAAGGGAAUUAUUUGUGGUCUCUGAAGUAAAACCUAGGAUUUCACAAAUUAGAGAAAACUUAAGAAAACUAUCUAAAAAUACAUAAAGAAGACAAACGUCUAUUGGAUUCUCUGAAGAAUAAAAUAAAGUCAAUAUGCAAAUUGGAAACAACGAAAAAAUGUCAGAAUGAGACCUAAAGAACCCACCAGGAGCCAAGCAGAAAUGUUUCAAAGAUACUCGUGUAGGUACAAGUGGGAGAAGCUGCUAAUAUCAAGGAUAAAGAAGAAGCCCCCAGACUCUCAAAGUGGGAGAACAGUUUGUGUCGUUCCCAGUAAGAACUAGACCGUGGGCUCUAUCUGAUGCUACCGCUGACACUUGAGGAAAAGGAAACAGUCCUUUCCUUCUCAGGGGAAAUUAUUUUGGACUCCUGUACCCACCCAAAAUAUCAACAAAGGAUGAGGGAAAAUAAAGAAAAAGUUGGGUUUUUGACUGCAAGUAACAGGAGCCCCAGAGAGAGGGUCCGUGUCACAUGGGCCAGUGAUGUAUCGGGACCCCGGCCCCGUCUGUCCAUCUCUCCACCCCGCCCCGGCGUCCUUCUCAGACUUGCCUCCAGGAGGGUGUCAAGUUUCCUCACGUGCAUCAGAAGAGAAAGGGGGCAACAGGGUGUCAGUCCUUCCCUUCAGUCUCGUCGGACCAACGCCGCCCGUUUGAGCCCUGCGCGGCGCGACAGGUGCUGACUGUCUUCGAGUGCUCCGCCCCUGGGGAACGGGGUUGCUUACCCCGAGUCACGCACUCUAAGCAGAAGGGGGGAACACCCCGACAAAACAGGUUUCCUUGGAGAGAAGGAAGGGAGCGUGGAGACUGGAUGCCAAAUAACACCGUGCAGCACGCACUCCCUCACAGCCCCUCUGAAAAAACUACUUGAGGACAUACUCAAAAACAGUGGAAAAGCAGUUGGGGAAAGGAUGACACACACAUCGGGGGUGGUGAGCCGAGACACAGGACGGCAUCAGAGGCCUGUCUGCGGUACGACGGCUAUCACGGGACGUCAGCUGUGACUAAGGACUCCCAAAAGAGUAGAAGCAUGCACGGUUGGUUUUUUAAGUCAAAGCAAACCUGGAACUGCAACUACGAAUUAUUUCGGUGAAAUACAGGAGAAAGAGGUAAAAAGAAGAGUGAAGGUAGUUCCAAGGCGAAGGUGACAGAAACACGGUGAGUUUGUCUUGAAAGGUAAGAGUAAACGUAAGUAAGUUUAUUCCCCAAAUUAUGAGGCGUGUGUCCUUGCUGAAGCCAUUGUGGUGAAAUUAUGAAUAUGGAAAAAUCACAGGUUCCUCCCCAUUAGCGAUCAGGGAGAAGCAGAGCGAAACCACAGGGAACCAUCCCUGCCCCCACCGUUGCGGCCAGCGAUGGUUUUGAUAACCCAGUGUUGGUAAAGGCAAAGGGAAAUAGGCUCUCGUGGAAGCAUAAACGUACGGGCUGUUUGGGAGCCGGUUUGAGAUCCUCAAACAUUCCAACACGCGGACACGUUUAACGAGCAGUUCCGUUCUGCAGAAAUACUUGCCGGUUCACACGGAUAAAUAUUGACAAUGAGCCGUGCAGUACGACUUACAAUAGCAAACGGUGGAAGGGACCUGUCUGCCCUCAGAGGAACAACCCAGUGCAACGCUGAGUUUCCAUUCCACGGAUCCUUCUGUAACCCUCUGAGGCAGAGUUUCAGGCCCCGAAUCUAACAUACAUCACUGACUCGUGAAUGUUGUACGCUCAGCCAGCACGACCGCCCCUCGCAGCCGCAGGAAGCUUGUCCAACACACGUGUUUUCUCCACGGGAUCCGUCAUAGCCUUCCCGGGCUUAGGAGCUCAAGACAACACGUCAGCACCGUGUCUGGGGGGAUUUUCAGCAGAGAAACCACCAGCAAAUGCCCGAGAAUGAGAAAAACAAGGCAGGAAGCUGACCACGUAGAGGACAUUUGCGUCCAGUAUGAGCAGGACAAGAAGGCAGAGUGCCGCCUGUUUGACCGCAGCUGUCCCGACGUCCAGAGUGCUGGAAGGGUCACAGCGAGUACCCAUGCCCGUCAGCUGAGGGGCAGACGGACAGAAUGCAGUCUGUCCGCUGGGGGGAGAGGAGACGAGGAACGCACUGAUGCGUGUCCCACGCACACGUCCUGCUGAGUGAAGGACACUGGUUGUAGAUGACCACGUGCUGUAGGAUCUCACUCACUCACUGGAGAUUCCAGAACAGGCGAGUCCCCACAGGCAGAAAGGAGAUUAGCAGUUGCCUAGGGCUGGGAGUUUUGGGGGGAAACUGGCCUGGGAGAGUUUUUUUCAGGGGAGACCAGUGUUUUACAAUUCCAUUGCGAGGGUGAUACAGCCAAAUUUCUGUGGCAUACUAAAACACACUGAGUCGUAUACUUUAUUUUUUAGUUUGUUUUAUUUUUUUAAAGAUUUUAUUUAGGGACGCCUGGGUGGCUCAGUGGGUUAAAGCCUCUGCCUUCAGCUCAGGUCAUGAUCUCAGG